rnacentral:lncRNA from 10 species
AGUGACGCGCAGGCCCGGGACCCCGGGGGCGGGCGGUGGACCCCCAGCUGGCAGAGCCUGGGGCGGGGGCCUGAGCUCCAGGUCCGAGAGGAGCCGCACCGUCGGGUUGGAGAUCGCGCGCAAGGGUGGCCUCUGGGUCUGCAUCUGCCCCGCAUCGGCCACAGGAAAAGCCUGGUCCCUAGGCACGGUCGUGGUUCGAGCUUUUCGUUCUCUCGCACAUUGAGGUAUUCGCUCAGCCCACCACGUUGUCCUCGGGGUUAUUAGGCCCCAGUCACAAGCCCUAUGAUGUUUUCAGACUUCCCAGGUGGAGAUAAAGGAAAAUUUUACUAUUUCUGCAGAACUUCUGUUGAUGUACAGCAUUGUAUUUAGCAACUUCUGUGUAGAUCUGAAAAUAAAUACAUUACCAAUUGUUAGUUGCGUUUUUAUUAAUAUAAAUCUUAGAGUACUUGAUUUUGCUGUUAGCUUUACUUAGGUAAAUUAUGUGGCACUCUAGCAUUUUUGUUGUUGCAUGUUCCAUUGAACUUUGCUCUGUGUUUUCCAUUUAUUCCAAAUUCAAAAUAGACUGUAACUUCCCAAUUUAUUCUAUGUUCCCAAGGCACCAGGCAUAGUAGGUGUUUUAUGAAUACCUGUUGACUUGAAAUUUCUCAGACUUUUAAAAAAUUUUUCAUUACUGACAAAAGAUGGAGCGAUAAAAAGAUUCUUAGUACACUUCCUAUUAUUGCCAAUUCUAUUAGUAAUGUAUACUGCAUUACAACUUCUAUACAAGCAGUAACUCAUUUGCUCCUCAUAAGAACCCUAUGAGAGAUGUGGUUUUACUGUCAUCAUUUUAGGAGCAAAUUAAGGCACAAAGAAGUGACUUACCCAAGGUUACACAGCUAUUAUCUGGUGGAAGCAGGAUUUGAACCCUGGCAAUUGGGCUCCAAAGUCUGAUCCUUUGUCUAUAAUGUUGACAAAAACUUGUGGAUGUUGUGGUAAAUUGCUUUCUCUCCAUUUGAAAUCCCAUUGAGUUGAAGAGAUAGACGCAUAGUGAGUAUACGUCCCAAGGAAAUGUAUUAUAUUGUUUUCUGGGUUUCAGUUAAUUCAAAUAAAAUAAAAAUAGUGAAGCAAAGAUUUGGACUAGAUGCUGUGAGGUUUUGUGUCAGCAUGCAACAGUGUCACAACAGUGUCAUCACCACGUUUGGUUCUGUGUUGUGGAUGUAAUAUUUUGCCCCACAUACAUAGAAAGUUCAAUGAAUAGCACUGAACCACAUAUAUACCAAAUUAAAGACAACUUUUGAUAUUAUGUAUUCUAGAGGGAAUCUUUCUGGUAUCAGAAUAUUCAUACUACUGUCAUUGGGAUGAGUUUUAAAUGUAUACCUUUUUAAAUAAAUCCUCUUUAAUAAUAAAAGUGGUUGUGUGCAUAAUUUGGCACUUUAACAUAAUUUUGAAUUCUAGGUCUCUAAUAAGAGGGCAGCCAUCUACUUAGUAAAUCAUUAAUUUACAAAGGAGACAAUUGAGAGCUAUUACGAAAAUGGAUACAAUAUAACUAUACCUGAAAAACUAAUAAGUAAAGCAAAAAAUCAGCUUUACAAAUUGUCUCCCCUUCUUUCUCAAUUUAACUUUAUUAUUGGUUAAGGAAAUAAGUUGUUAAUGAUAGAGAAAAAGUGAUCAGCAAUUUAAAUUUCUUGCUAUUUUUCUUUUUUCUGUAUACCACUUUUUUCUGCUUCUUAUAUUAGCUUGCUUUUGCUCUGCUUUAAGGAAGAUUAUACUUUAAAAGUAUAGUUUGGUAAAUAGUUUUUAAUUAGUUAACAUGCACAAUCAUUUAUUUGUAAUUACAAACAAGUUGUUUUUCAUUAUUAGAAGAGUUUUCUAUAGGAAUUCAUUGUUUAUGUAGCAUCUAGAAGACUAUGUUUUAUGAACUGGUUUUUUAACAUUCUGGAGGGGGCAGAAAUUUCAACUGUCCAGUUAUUCAUGAAUAAUUGGAGGUUUCAUGGGGCAAUUUCUAUCCUUUGCCACGAAUGACUGCUGUACCCUAGACACAAACAGAGAUGGAACUGUGUAAUUUUGUUUCCCUAGGAAAGCAGAUGCAGUAAGAAGGGACUCAUUCAGAGAAAAGAUUUUGAGUCCCCUUCCAUAUAAUAUUUUUGCUAAUCUGAGAACAUGUAGCGCUGUGUAAAAGGGAAAAUUAUACCAGUGGUAGCUGCAAACCUACAUAAGCCAGAUAACUAUGUUAGCCCCAUUUUACAAAUGAGUAGAACAAAGGUUCAAAGAAGUGAAGUAAGUUGGCCAAGGUCACUCAAGUGGUAAGAGGCAGAGCUCUAGAUUAUAUGCUCUCACUCUGAAACAAACAUAAUCUAAUCCUCAUUAAGAUUAGGUUUUUAAAUCCGUAUUCUGCAGAUAAGAAAACUAAGGUUUAUGAACAAAGAACCUUGGCACUCUUCUGUCUAGAGCCACCUCUUUACUCAGGAGUGAGAAAAGGGGAGAAAGUUAGUAAAUUUUUAUUCGAAUUUAUUUUGUAGUUUCUACUUAUAUUGCCAACUUGAUUCCAAGUCCUUUUAAAGUAAAGCACCCUCAAAACAAUGUAUGUCAGAAGUACUUGUUUAUCUUAGAGUGACCAAUAAUGAAAAACAACUUGUAUGUAAUUACAAAUAAAUGAUCGUGGAUGUUAACUAGUUAAAAACUAUUUAGCAAACUAUACUUUUAAAGUAUAAUCUUCCUUAAACCAGAGCAGGGGUAAGCUAAUUUUGUUUUUAUAUCAUAUUUUACAUGAAAUAAAUGCAAGUGAGAAUUUAACCAUCAUAGAAUUACAAUUUUUUUGAAUGAUAAUUAAUCAUCCAUGUUGUCUAAUAUUUUAUUAUUGUAUGGUAUAUACCAAACCAAAAGAUACCACAUUAAAUACCAGGCAAACAGCAAAGUAAUAUUUCCAAAAUGAGGAAGUAAUUUUAUGGCCAAUAAAUUACAAAUAUGAUAAUUGUUUUAAAUCAUUCUAAUACAGUACAAAGUUUUCUUGUUGGGCGUAAUUCUAAUCCUUUUGUUCAAUGAUGAAUUUUUUUUUAUCUGAGUUUCAGUAUUCAUCUUUUUGGAUAUUCCUUUACAGAUAGGGAAACUAAAACAAUUGACUCUGGUUGAGUAACCAAAAUAUUAACAAAAAUGACCUAGUGCCAAAGUGGAAUUAUAGCUUCUGUGUUUCACAGAGGGACUGGGAUACAAACUGAAAGCUUU